AGAGUUUGAUCAUGGCUCAGAGCGAACGCUGGCGGCGUGCUUAACACAUGCAAGUCGAACGCGCAGUUUUCUGUAGCAAUACAGGAGGCGGGCGCGUGGCGAACGGGUGCGUAACACGUGGAUAACCUUCCUUCAGGUGGGGAAUAACCCCGCGAAAGCGGGGCUAAUACCGCAUUACAUGACGAUGGCACAUGCCGUUGUCUUCAAAGCCGCAAGGCGCCAGAAGAGGGAUCCGCGGCCGAUUAGCUUGUUGGCGGGGUAACGGCCCACCAAGGCAAUGAUCGGUAGCCGGUCUGAGAGGAUGAUCGGCCACACUGGAACUGAGACACGGUCCAGACUCCUACGGGAGGCAGCAGUGGGGAAUCUUGCGCAAUGGGCGAAAGCCUGACGCAGCAACGCCGCGUGGGGGAUGAAGCUUCUCGGAGUGUAAACCCCUUUCGACCCGGACGAAUGCCCGCAAGGGCUUGACGGUACGGGUAUAAGAAGCCCCGGCUAACUACGUGCCAGCAGCCGCGGUAAAACGUAGGGGGCCAGCGUUGCUCGGAAUUACUGGGCGUAAAGGGUCCGUAGGCGGUGUGGCAAGUCGGAAGUGAAAUCUCUCGGCUUAACUGAGAGGCUGCUUCCGAAACUGCUGUGCUAGAGUGCGAGAGAGGCGAGUGGAAUUGCGGGUGUAGCGGUGAAAUGCGUAGAUAUCCGCAGGAACAUCCGAGGCGAAAGCGGCUCGCUGGAUCGCAACUGACGCUGAGGGACGAAAGCUAGGGGAGCAAACAGGAUUAGAUACCCUGGUAGUCC
rnacentral:rRNA from 1 species